CCAAUGUGUCCUGGAGCCCCAAUUCUCCCACCCCAUUAGGGAAAUUGAGAGGCAGGCUGGGAGUAUGGAUCUACCUGUCAACACCCAUAUUCAGGGGGGAAGCAAUUACAGAAGCCAGACUUUCCACCUUCUACAUCCCAUAAUGACCUUGGGAUUUCAUUUUCAUGUCUGGGCAUUAUGCAAGCACGUACUUGUCAUUUUCAUCUGAAGAAGAGAAGUUCAGAUUUACUCAAAUAACAUACCAUCACCCUACCUGAUAUGAAAAAAAAACUAAGGAAAAUAUUAGUUUAUAUGAAGAAUUCUGGUUUUAGUGGUCCCCAUCAACUAAUACUGGAUUGUAUUUUUCAUUCGUCUAUUCAUCAAAAUUCACUUUAAUAAUCUACAUAAAAUUUCCAUUACUCAAACA